rnacentral:sRNA from 1 species
AUGUUGUUUCUUGGACAAUUUACCUGUACGCUUAUGAUGAAAGAUAGAAAGGACUCCUUCAACAUGGAACAUAGAGAUGUGAUUAGAGUUCCUGCUGGGCUUCUAUUUACUUAAUUAACAAUAACAAUGAUGAACCUCUUCACAUUGCAAAGCUCAUCCGUUCUGUUAACAGUUCUGGACGAUUUGAGGAAUUCUGCCCUGCUGGUUUUGGAAAUCCCAAGUCAUACUUCAACAUUUCAGCGAUGACAUUAUUGAAUCUGCCUUCAAUACCCCAAGAAAAGAGCCAAAGCAGGACUUUAGACAACAAAGGGGCAAACAAAGGGGUCAAGGCAUAGUCAUGAGCUCCCCAAAAGAGCAACUUGAGGCACUAUUUGGCUAAUCACCUAGGAUUGGUACCUGUAACCACUGCACAUGUACAGUUUCUUUUUAUAUUACCUUGAAUUGAUGACAAAUAGUGCUUUUUUUCUCUGCCACGAUUCUUUUUGGUUCCAUGACUUCCAACAUCUACAAUGCCAUCUCUAUCAUAAUUAAUUCAUUUACGCUUGCCUUCUAUAAAAUGGAAUCCACGCUAUGAAAAUUGCCUUCACUAUAAGAGUGUAAAUU